rnacentral:lncRNA from 1 species
CAUUGUCUAGGCCUACUAUUCAGCCAUUUAUGAAAUGACUACAGAAGAGGUAUCAUCAAUGAUGAUCAAGCUAAUUGGCUCUAGGGCAAGUGGGAGAUUGUUGGAAAUGUGCCCUAAAACCGAUCAUAUGAUGAUACUUUACGGACAUUUCACAUGUUAAACUAAUCUAGUUUAAUAUCAAGGGCAAAGAUUAUUGUUUGAGCCGUCUCAUAUAAAUGUUAUAUGCUUAAACGAUAAGUCCAAGAAAUAUGUGAUUAGGAGAAUGCAAUCUAAAGAAGUUAGAUUCAUGAAACCAUUCUUUCGUAGACACAUCCUAAACGUUCCUGGUCAUAGGAUUGCCAAUUGGGCAUUGACAAUCCAUUAAGAUCAGUAUGUUCUGUGUCUUCUCUCAGGGAGAGUGACUAGUCUCGAGUCAUUGAUGUGUGUGACAUCAAGACAAGUACGUAGGUGCUCAAUAGAGAAUGAGUCCACUAAACACGAUCAACGAAGAGUUCUCAUAUUCAUGUCACAUGAGAACUCAUGGUUGGGAUAAUGCAAAGUAGUCCUUUGACCUGAGGCAUCACAAUUGUCUUGUGGUUAAGUCCUUGAUCUUUGAUUAUGUCAAAGUCACUCCAUUUGGAGGGUGUCCACGGCAUCGUUGGGGUUAAGCCACUUAGCCAUGGAGACAAGUGAAUGCGCAACAAGAGAUCUCUAACCUUCAAACCGUUUGAGGGAGAAUACUC